rnacentral:rRNA from 1 species
UAGGGAAUAUUGGACAAUGGGGGCAACCCUGAUCCAGCCAUGCCGCGUGAGUGAAGAAGGCCCUCGGUUUGUAAAGCUCUUUUGUCCGGAAAGAAAAGCUUCGGGUUAAUACCCCGGGGUUCUGACGGUACCGGAAGAAUAAGCACCGGCUAACUUCGUGCCAGCAGCCGCGGUAAUACGAAGGGUGCAAGCGUUACUCGGAAUUACUGGGCGUAAAGCGUGCGUAUGUGGUUGUUUAAGUCUGAUGUGAAAGCCCUGGGCUCAACCUGGUAAUGGCAUUGGAAACUGGGCAGCUAGAGUGCGGUAGAGGGUAGUGGAAUUCCCGGUGUAGCAGUGAAAUGCGUAGAGAUCGGGAGGAACAUCUGUGGCGAAGGCGACUGCCUGGAC